UAGCUUGUAGAUGUUGUAUUGAUUGAAUAUAUUUUUGACCUAAUAUUUUAAUUAUUUUCUUAUUCCUUGUUCUUAUAGCACAAUUUUUUUGUUCACAUGAUUGUUAAAGAUUGAGGUUGCAAUAGUUUCAAAUUUUUUUAGUAGCAAAUCUAAAUAAUUUAAGGUUCUUUCUUUACUAGCCAUAAAUAGUGGUAUUUGGUGAGUUUUUUUUAGAAUAGUAUUGAUAUAAGUUGAUAAUUAAUUUAGACUUUUCUUAGCUUCUUCUUUAUUUAUUUGGAUUCUUUUUUAUUUAGAUUCUAAAUUUCCAUCUAAUUUUGUUUUAUUUUCUUAUGUUGGUGGAACUAUAAUAGAAGUGUUGAGGUGUGAUUGUCAAAGGCUACUAUGACUAGCUUGGUGAUAGAUGCAAAGGUAUUUGGUUUAUCAUUAAGAAUAUUAGUGUCAAGUGGAAUUACAAUUAGAACAUCUUUAAUAUUGUGACUUUGUCGUUAAUCUUCAUUGUUGUAGAUUUUUUGAAAGGAGAAAAAAUUAUGUUUUAGUAGACAAUAAGAAUACUUUAUGUCUAAAUUACGCUUCAUGUAAAUUGUUUUUUUAUGAUCAUUACUUUAUUUAAAUUAGUAUUAAUGAAAUUUUUGAAGUUCUAUAUGUAACCAAUAAAUAGAAAGCUAUGUCAAGGAUUUUUAAAUUUUGCAACAAUGUAUGGUUUUAUUAAUUGAAAAUUUUCUUAUUACUUUAAUAUUUAUAGAAAUUAAUAAAAUAAAUUCUUGUAUUUCUUUAAGAUGGCUCAAUGUAUUAAUGAUAUCUAUAAAAAAUAUAUAUAUAUUUAAAAAACAAAAGAACAAAGGAAUAAAGUUGAGGUUGCUCCAAAGUAAUUGUUGAGGAAAAAAAUGAGAUU
rnacentral:lncRNA from 1 species